GAAGGCUAGGAGGUAGCGUGUGCCAGGCUGGGUAACCGAAAAGGUCGUAAAAGUUACUGGAUAAGGGACCGGGCUCCCGCCCUAGAGGAGAGAAGAGCAGGCAAGCAGGCGGGUGCGGAUGACCUGUUAGAAAGGAAGUACAGACAUAUCGGGUAUUUCCAUAAGUAUCUGAGCAUGCAAAUUAUAUGUAAAUAAGUCCUUUUGCGUUAGCCACCGAGUUACCGUAAUUGCUCUCAGUGGCUUUUCCCCCUCCCCUGUUCCACAUGACUCUCUUAGUAAAUCAGACCGUGGGAUACACGCAGGGGACCCAGCCGGGAGAGGAGAAAGAGAAAGGGCGGGCGGGGAAGAUAGUCACCCUCAACACCCUUUUCCAAUUCAUCUUUAAGGAAGCUUCCAAGGUUACGCCCCUUGUCGCUUCGGAAAUGGCGCGGUCCAACCGCGUCAAUCUUUUCGCCGUUACCGGCGCGACUCGAGGCCGCGAUUCUGCCUCCGAGGUCACCACCUGCCUGGGUCCUUUGGCCUCCAGCCUCCGGACGUUGAUCUCUCCAGGGAGGGGCUGGACGGGCCUAAAUUGGGAGAGACUACCACUUCAGCAGUGCUGGACCAAAUCACUCGGCCCGGAAUCCACCUUUUCCAGGUCACAGAGAGAUGAACUAAGAUGCUCAAGGUCAAACUGGCAGCAAGUUGCAAAGCCAAUUAUCUUCUGACGGGGAAGACAACACUGCUUGUCCCACAGAAACCUUUCACUUAGGCAUACCCUCUUCCUCCUCCUCCCCGCUGCACCAACUCCAUCUCUCUACUGCCCUCUUCCCGAAAACACUCACCAGGAUCCCCUCGACUUUGUUCUGCACGGCCUUGCUGUGGAGGAGAGGAGAAAGCUGGAGGUCACACACAAGAUUUUCCCUGGUGUCUAACUGUUAGGGAGAGGAAGAGGGCUGAGAGGCCUGACAGGUGCUCAGCAACGGCUACCAUGAUGGAGAAUCUCCCAGUGCUCACAGGCACUUGCUCAGGGAGAGCCAGUUCAUCUACAGAGGAAGUGAAGUGCUACGGUUCUGGAGCAAGACUUGGAGGUGGUGAGGAGUACUUACGAAAUGGUACCUCGGAGCCUCUGAAGAAGGGUGGUGGGUUCUCCCGCCUCAGCACUACCUGAGGGGGGCCGUCCCCCAGUCUUGGGGCUCUUAGCGUCGGGUUCAUCUUCUGCCAUCCCGGCAUGAGGGCUAGAGUUGAGAGGAGACACGACAGGAAGAUUCAACCUCCCUUCCCCUGGAGCCACCCCGCCGCUCCCCAGGCGCUCCUCGUCUCCCUACCCAGAAACACAGAGAAACAGAAAGCCUCUGAAUGUCCUCAGUGGUCUUUUUUUCUCACCACUUGCCUUCUCCCCAAAUUAGAAAUGAUCCCAUUACUUCUCCAGGCCCAUAUAUACCCAAAGAGAUCUCUGCCACCCCCAUUCUAUCUGCCCCCCCCCCCCCCCCCGCUUCCUGCAGUCUCCUGAGUGUGGAAAACUGUACAGGAAGAGAUAGGCGGGUUGGGAAUCCACGUUAGAAAUGUCCAUUUCUGCCUCUGGCCCCGUCCCGCCCUCACCCCCUUAAAAAACCAAAAACAAGAACCACCACAAAACAAAGUUCUCCGAUUCUCCUCACGCCUGAAUUUUCCUGGGAGGUCAGAAAGGAUACGAACAUACUCUGCCCUUGCAGGCUUGGAAAAAACUGGGCCCAAGUUCUCAUUACUUAAUCUCGCCACGGCUUCCCCCGCGGCUCCCCCUCCCCACGUCGCCGGUCCCUACGUCAUCUCCCUCAACCUCCCAUCCUGAGGCGCACCCCCACCUCCCUCCCUUCCCCCUGCAUUCAAUCCCGCGUUGCUGCAAGGUGGGAGGCUUCAGAGGGGCGAACUCCUGGGCUGGGCGUAGGAAACCCGGUUGGGGGAACGGGGUCCCGGAUUCGGGGCACGUGCACAUGGGCGAAGGAGCUGUUGAAAAUACGGCCACAAUCUUUUUCUGCUCUCCUCCCAACUCAUACUGUCCCCUCCCUACCUUUGAACAGUCGCCUUCCAACACAAGCAACAAUAAAGAUCGCGAGUCAAAUGAAAGCAGUGGACCCUCUGCUAUGAAAAAUGCACGUGAGGACUAAGUUUUGCAUCUAAUUUCAAAGGUGCCCAUGAAGGUCAAAUAAGCCAAUGUAUUCAGAAGUACUUUAAAGGAGAAGUGUUGUAUAAAUAUGGGAAGGACUGUGCCAGAAGCUGGGGACAGAAAUCCCAGGCAGUGGAACCUGCUGACUCGGCGUCUACAGAAGCCACUUUCAUCUUGGAUGAAAGCUAUGGGGUGAAGUUUUUAUUGGAUAGUGAAAGGGACGAAGUUUGGUCUCGAGACUGCCGGCGGAAAGAUCCAUGGUGUUUCCAAACUGGAGUGAAAGGAAGAACAAAGCUGGGCUGCAGUAUGACAGAUGAUGGGCAUCUGUCCUCCUGGUUCCCGUGGGUAAGGGAGCACCCAGAGGGAGAUGCUCUGUGGCUGCCCUUACCCCCUUCUCCUCAAUAUCACUCAACUCCCCUGACUCUUUCCUACAUCUGGGUCCUCACCAUCACGCCAUCAGCCAGGCAUGUGCCGCAGUCAGCCCUGUGGGUGCAGCUGUACCCCAGGGGGUGGCCCAGGGGGCUGCUUCUUCGCCUGGGCUGGCCUCCCCAUCUGCUGGCUGUCUCUCCUCACCCUGCCUCCAGCCUGCGCCUCUGGCCUCCUCCUCCUCCUCCUCGGACCCCAUCUCAUACCUCCUCUACUUUCCUGCUUUGGGGCUUGAAGUAGCCUUACAGCCAAGAUCUGAAAGAGAAAGAAAGCCCAUCCUCACCCCCUUGUCAAAAGUUCUGGGGCACCUGGGGGGCUCAGUCGGUUAACCGUCUGACUUCGGCUCAGGUCACGAUCUUGUGGUUCGUGGGAUUGAGCCCCGCGUCGGGCCCUCU